CACGUAGGGGCCAAGCGUUGUCCGGAUUUACUGGGCGUAAAGGGCUCGUAGGCGGCCAACUAAGUCAUACGUGAAAUCCCUCGGCUUAACCGGGGAACUGCGUCUGAUACUGGAUGGCUUGAGAUUGGGAGAGGGAUGCGGAAUUCCAGGUGUAGCGGUGAAAUGCGUAGAUAUCUGGAGGAACACCGGUGGCGAAGGCGGCAUCCUGGACCAACACUGACGCUGAGGAGCGAAAGCCAGGGGAGCAAACGGG
rnacentral:rRNA from 1 species